rnacentral:snoRNA from 1 species
UGUUCAGAUUGGGGCACUUUCUGAAGUAAUCUUUGAAUCAUUCCCAUGCUUUUGGAUGGUACUCAAGGUCUCUUUGCUAGAAAAUAUGAACUUCAUUUAUGAUAUG